rnacentral:rRNA from 1 species
CCUACGGGAGGCAGCAGUGAGGAAUAUUGCGCAAUGGGCGAAAGCCUGACGCAGCGACGCCGCGUGAGGGAUGAAGGUCUUCGGAUCGUAAACCUCUGUCAGCAGGGAAGAACGGUCACUGUGCUAAUCAGCAGUGAAUUGACGGUACCUGCAAAGGAAGCACCGGCUAACUCCGUGCCAGCAGCCGCGGUAAUACGGAGGGUGCGAGCGUUAAGCGGAAUUACUGGGCGUAAAGCGCUCGUAGGCGGUAUGUCAAGUCAAGGGUGAAAUCCCCGCGCUCAACGUGGGAACUGCCUUUGAAACUGGCAAACUGGAGUGGGUGAGAGGAUAGUGGAAUUCCAGGUGUAGGAGUGAAAGCCGUAGAUAUCUGGAGGAACAUCAGUGGCGAAGGCGACUAUCUGGCACAUAACUGACGCUGAGGAGCGAAAGCGUGGGUAGCAAACAGGAUUAGAUACCCGGGUAGUC